CUGCAGUGAAGGCAAGCUGUCUGGCAGUUUCCACCCCUCCCUGCUGAGCAACUACUAAAAAUGAUGUGUUGAAGUGAGAAGACUUCAGACUUAAAUUGUUUGGACAAAAGGCAACUGAGAACCGAACAUGACUGAAGUCCCAGGGAAGCUGACUGCAAGGCUUAGAAGAGGCAAAAAGGAAGUGCUUCUUCACACAAUACAUAACUGAUCCGAGGAGUUCGUGUCCAAAGAGGUAUGCUUUCGUUCAGAAACUUUUCCCGCAGGCCGGAUACAUCUGUGUUUUCUUCCGUGUGGAUUCUUUCGUGAUUCAUGAGGUUUUAUCUUCGCCCAAAACGUUUCUCACAGAGGGAGCACGUGUGAUUUCUCUCCCAUGUGGCUUCUUUCAUGGGGAUGUGAAGCUCGCUUUUUUCUUGAACCUUUUCCCAUAAACCCUGUGUGAAUACAGUUUCUCCCCUAUGUGGAUUCUCCCAAAUGUUCCUUUACGCAGACAGAGCACAUGUACAGCUUUUCCUGAGUGGAUUUUUUUGAUGUUCGGUGUAACUUGUUCUGUGCUUGAAGUUCUUCCCACAGACCGAACAGGUGUAGUAGCCUUUUUCUCCAGUGUGAAUUCUUUUAUGGGAUUCAUUGCCAAACCUUUUUCCUGCAAACGGAGAACAAAUAUGAAUUCUACCCCAUGUGGGUUUUCAUUUGUCUGAGAAGGUUAGCCUCAUACCUGUAGUUUCUCCCACAGACUGAACGUGUAUGCAGAAUUUUUCCAGCAUGGCCUCUUUCAUAGUGAGUGAGGUUGAACCUUUACUUGAAACUUUUCUCACGGAACACACGUGGUUAAUAUUUUUCUUGUGUGUGACUGCUUUCCUGUGUUAGUUCUCCCACUCUACCUUUUUUCACAUACAGAGCAUUUAUAGGGUGUCUCUCCUGUAAGUUUUCCCAUGGAUUCGAGACUUUUUAUGACUAAGAAGAUUGGAUCCUUUGUUCAAGUAUUUCCCACACAAUGACCAUGUAUGUAAUUUUUCUUCCUUAUGGCCCCUCCUGUGGACAGCCAGGUGACUUUUCCAGCUAUAACCGUUCCACAGACCAAGCAUGUAUAUGGUUUUUCUCCUGUAUGGUUUCCCUUAUGUCUCGGAAGUUUUUAUGACGGAAGCCUUUUCCAUAAAUCAACCAUUUAUAGGGCAUUUCCCCCAUAUAAAUUCUUCUGUGCUGGAGAAGACCCCCGAGGACGAGCUAAAACCUCUUCCCACAGGUGGGACAAGGGUACCUUCCUCUCCCAGAUGAAUUUGCUCAUGUCUUAACCAGACAUGCCUGUUACUGAAGCAUUUUGUGCACAUGGACCACCACAAAUAUGUUUUACUCCUCUGUGAGGGAUCUUGUGUGCAGUAAAGCCCAGCACGCUAAGAAAAGCUUUCAUUGCACAGGGAGCAUUGAUAUGGUUUUUCUCCUGUAUGUAUUUCUUCAUGAAUGAUGAGGGGUAUUUUAUGACUCAGUGUUUGUACCCCAUACUGAACAAGCAGAUUUCCUCUUCUCUCCCCCCCCCCCCCCCGGUCUCCUUUCAUGGUUAAUAAGAUGGGAUCCUUGAUGGAACAUUUUUCACAGGUUGAAAAUGUAUGUGGUCUCUUACCUCUGUAUGGCUGGUUCCAUGUUUAAUGAGAUGUGAUUUUUGAAAGAAUUCUUUUCCCACAAAUAAAGCAUGUGUAGACUUAC